CCUACGGGAGGCAGCAGUGAGGAAUAUUGGUCAAUGGACGAGAGUCUGAACCAGCCAAGUAGCGUGAAGGAUGACUGCCCUAUGGGUUGUAAACUUCUUUUAUAUGGGAAUAAAAUGUUCCACGUGUGGGAUUUUGUAUGUACCCUAUGAAUAAGGAUCGGCUAACUCCGUGCCAGCAGCCGCGGUAAUACGGAGGAUCCGAGCGUUAUCCGGAUUUAUUGGGUUUAAAGGGAGCGUAGGUGGAUUGUUAAGUCAGUUGUGAAAGUUUGCGGCUCAACCGUAAAAUUGCAGUUGAAACUGGCAGUCUUGAGUACAGUAGAGGUGGGCGGAAUGCGUGGUGUAGCGGUGAAAUGCUUAGAUAUCACGAAGAACUCCGAUUGCGAAGGCAGUUCACUGGACUGCAACUGACACUGAGGCUCGAAAGUGUGGGUAUCAAACAGGAUUAGAUACCCUUGUAGUC
rnacentral:rRNA from 1 species